UACGGAGGGUGCAAACGUUGCUCGGAAUCAUUGGGCGUAAAGCGCACGUAGGCGGACCUGUAAGUCGGGAGUGAAAGCCCCGGGCUUAACCCGGGAAGUGCUUUCGAAACUGCAGGUCUUGAGUACUGGAGGGGGCGGCGGAAUUCCCGGUGUAGAGGUGAAAUUCGUAGAUAUCGGGAGGAACACCAGUGGCGAAGGCGGCCGCCUGGACCAGAUACUGACGCUGAGGUGCGAAAGCGAUGGGGAG
rnacentral:rRNA from 1 species